GUUGGGUUGGGAGGGACCCUAUGGAUCACAGAACCAUGGGAUGGGAUCAUGGCAUGGUUGGAUUGAAUGAACCCUAUAGAUCAUAAAACCAUGGGAUCAUGGCAUGGUUGGAUUGGGAAGAACCCUAUAGAUUGUGGAACCAUGGGAUCAUGGCAUGGAACCCUACAGAGCACAGAACAAUGCCAGGACAUGGGGGGCAACAGGAAAGCUGGGAAGGACUUCUUAUAAGGGUGUGCAGUGAUCGGAUGAGGGGAAGCGGCUUUGAGCUGGAAUAGGGGGGGGUCUGGAGUGGAUAUUGGGAAGGAAUUCUUCACUGUGAGGGUGGGGGGACGCUGGGAUGGGGCACCGGGGGGGCUGAGGGUGCCCCCUCCCUGGGUGUGAUGGGGCUCUGAGCAGCCCGGUGUGCUGGGAGCCCGCCCUGCUGGCAGCGGGGGAUGCAGCGAGGUGACCAAUGGGCCAAUAUCCAACCCAAACCACGCUGUGAUUCAGUGGUUCUGUGAUCUAUGGGAUCCGUUCGAACUCAACCAUCCCAUGAUCCCAUGGUUCUGUGAUCCAUAGAAUCCCUCCCAACCCAACCAUCCCAUGAUCCCAUG
rnacentral:lncRNA from 1 species